rnacentral:rRNA from 1 species
UGAGGAAUAUUGGUCAAUGGGCGAGAGUCUGAACCAGCCAAGUAGCGUGCAGGACGACGGCCCUAUGGGUUGUAAACUGCUUUUAUGUGGGGAUAAAGUGCGUGACGUGUCAUGCAUUGCAGGUACCACAUGAAUAAGGACCGGCUAAUUCCGUGCCAGCAGCCGCGGUAAUACGGAAGGUCCGGGCGUUAUCCGGAUUUAUUGGGUUUAAAGGGAGCGUAGGCUGUCUAUUAAGCGUGUUGUGAAAUAUACCGGCUCAACCGGUGGCUUGCAGCGCGAACUGGUCGACUUGAGUAUGCAGGAAGUAGGCGGAAUUCAUGGUGUAGCGGUGAAAUGCUUAGAUAUCAUGACGAACUCCGAUUGCGCAGGCAGCUUACUGUAGCAUAACUGACGCUGAUGCUCGAAAGUGCGGGUAUCAAACAGG